GCACCUCUUGGUGAUUUUCUGCACAGCACUCUGUGCCUUUACAGGCUUCACUAGUGUGGCAAUACAGCCAUUUCUUUACCUGUCAGAGCAAUGAGCACCCCAGAGAACUGAUGAUUUACCGUUGUCAGAUGAGGAAUGAUAUGCAAACUCUGAACGGAGGAAUUUCCUUAGGGUGAUCCAUCCCUCCCAAGACAGCAGGAGUUGGAUGCAAACCUGGGACCUUAGGAUGACAUUUAGCCCUGCUCAGCCAGAUGAACAAAAUUUAGAAAUCUGUCAACCAGCAACUGACAAAUCUGAAAUUCUAAAGAAGUGCUUUUGAAAGGCAGAUCCUAUCCCAACAGCAAUGAGCACAAGGCAAGUAUGGACUCAGAAAACUCACAUUUUUAACCACAGUCACACAGUUUGGGACAAUUUUGAUGGCAUUUAAAAGAAACACCUAAGCAGAGGAAGAACAUGGACACUGCACAAAGAAGGAAGCUCAACUGAGAA